GAAGUUUCAGAAAAAAUUGUCUGUGAUUCAUUCUGAAAAGUUGAGUGUGAAAAACAGAGAGAGAUGCAAUUUCCAAUUUCCACAGUUUUGUUCCGAAGAACUUGUUGUACUAGUUACUUGAUACUUCAACACUCCUGGGACAAAUGUAUGAAUUGGUCUCUUUCCCAUGGAGAUGCCUAGUAUUUGUGUGCUGUUUGUACAAUUCCUAGAAGCUCAUUUGCACACAGUUCGGGUUUCUGACAUCCUUCACUGACACCAGUUACCAAAAUGGCUGCAUGUGGACACCAUUAGGGAUGAAGGAGGAACUCGAUUUGCAUUGGGAGGUGAGCCUAGCGAACUCACAUUUCCUGAAACAAUACAUGAACUGAAACCUUGCUACCUUUCAAAAUUCGCACUUGUCUGAAAUUUGCAUUGCAGCCGUCCAGUUGCGUAAUUUGUACGCAAAUGCAUAUAAUAGGAUAAAGUGAGUGUAGAACGUACAUAUGUUGGUGGAAAAAAUAACCUGCAAAAAUGCGUUACGUUAAGGACACUUGCUUUGUAAAAAUGUGGACGUGAGGCAAAAUGGUGUAAAAUAUAUAUACUGGGAGUAAUUCACACUGAAAUGCUGAUGAAUUUCUGUGAGGCAAAUAUUUAUUGCAACCUUGGUGUGGAAAUGUGUAGAAGUGAACGAGAAUGGAAAAAUAAAAACCCUGAGAGAAACUGAAGCUGACAGAUUCAUGCGUCCCUAGAUGUCAUGAUAACAGUUUUCAGCAAAAGUGGGGAAUCUCAGACCUAGAGCCAGAAUGUGGCCCUUGUUGCUCCUCUGUCUGGCCCCCAGGUGGAAGUGUGGAACCUUAUCAUAGGAAGGCAAGAGUCUUGUUAUUCUCCCACCCACUUUCCCCUCUGACCCACCACUGGCAUGGAGUCCGUGAGGGGAUUCAGUCCAUGGGGCUGAAAAUUGUUCCUCAUCCUUGGUUAAUCCUGACAGGAGGUAGCUUAUAGUCUUCCCCACAGCUCACAUGUCUUCUCUUCCCUCACCUCUUUGGCGCAGCUGGGAUUCCACUUUCAAUUUGACCACAGUUUAGCGUUACCUUCGAACCCUAAACUCUGGCUGAUAGGUACUUGUAGCCGAGCAAAACAAGCCAGCUUUAUCAAACAUGGUUUGACAUCCAACUUUCCCCCUCAACCAUAAAUAAGAUUAACCACAGUUUGUCAGCUUCAGGCUACGCCAACAGCUGCAGUUCAUCCAAAACAGAAGCAAAAAGUCCCCAAGCUCCUCUCACAGUUCUGUCAAAGGAGCUGGGGCAGCAUGGGAUCACGCAAGGCCUGUUUCUUGUCCAAAGACAGUCAGUGUGGUGCAAGGCAGGAAGAGAACUUUAGGUCAAAGCUAGCGAAUGUGGGAAAUCUGGUUUCGUGUAGUUCCUAGAGUUCCCUGGAAAGAGGGGCUGACUGUUAAGCCGCUCUGGAAAUUGAAGCUCUGUGAGGAGAGUUCUCUUAACAACUGUCAGCACCCUUAGCAAACUACAGCUCCCAGGAUUCUUUGGGGCAAGCCACGGUCGUUCAAGUGGUUGUUGGCAUCCGUCAGUCUCGAGAGACAACGGAGUCUGCCUCUGGGGGUGAAGCCAAACCACUGGAGAAUCACAGCACCUGCUGUGGCUGCAGAGACCGCUAACUCAUAAUGGCUGCCUCCCGUGUUGUUUUUGCUGUGUUUACAGCGCCAACGUGACCUCCCUGGGUUGUAAGCCUGGGCGGUGUGUAUGGAGGUCUUGGGCUGCCCAGAUGACAAGACCCCCCCCUCCCUCUUGCCCUGGCUGAUGGGGUCCAAAGGAAAGCAGAGCAAGAUGUUUGGUACCAGCUUGGCUGCAGGAGUUGCUGGAAGGAGGUGUGCGCGCACACACAACAGUCUUAGGGACUCCACUCUGGAGUUGUGUAGAAUUUACUCCUGAGCCUUUUAUUCUCCAGAAGAAGUGCUUUAAAGACACAAUGGGGCUUUGACCUUGGUUGAGUCAAGGCCCUGCAGCCUGAACCUCCUUUAAUGUCCUGAUGCAAUCAGCGAAAAUGCUAGAGAUUUCCUUACUGUUGCGUUGAACUGGAGAUAUGCAAAAAGGUCCCAUUUAUUUCCCCCAAUAAAACCUUCACUCACCGUGAUCUUGGAAAUGAGUCCGUGCAGCAGUGUCACCGCCCUGAAUUCUGUUUGCUUGAGCCUUUUUUUUCUGGUCCACCACCUCCUUUAGCAAUUAACUCUGCAUAACUGUUUUAGCAAGGAAAGCUUAUGCUGGUUUUGGAAUUUGCUUUGCAGAAGUGGGCCUAGCUGGUUCUUCGGUGUUCUUGCAAGGAAGGCAUUAGAGCAGUUACGCUUUGCUAAAACGGGUGUGGGGGUGUGUGUGCAAAUUUUGAAACCAUAUGAUGAAUAGGGACAGAAGAAAAAUUCAAUUUGGUGCACAUUCAAAGCCAAAUCUAUCAAAUCCACACUUCCCGAAACACCACAAGAACCGGAACACAACCAUUCUCCAAAAUCUGCACUGACCCGAAUUUUGUGAUACAGUUCUCCAAACAAAAUGUGUGUAUUAGGGGAAAGAUGAGGAUGUUAGUGAAUAGAACAUGCAUAAAUGCACAGUAUGCACCCCAAAAAAUGUGUUUAUCCAGGGAAACACACUCUAAAAUAUGCUGGUGGGUUUUCAUGAGGAUUAAAAAAUAUAUAUUGCAAAAUUGCUGGAAAAUGUGGAGAACUGAAGCUUGAAAAAUGCGAGGAAACCGAAACUUGAUAGAUUCUCCCAUCCCUAAUAAGCCACAGAACUGAAUCUCGUUUCUGGAAAUUCACCACAUUUGAUUCAGAGUCAGAGCAAGCAAAACUGUUCUUGAAGCAUGGAAAUGUGUUUAGAAGAGGCAGGAGUCUUUUUGAAGUCUUCCUUCCCUGCAAGAAAGCCAAUAUCCAAGUGCCUUAGAAAAUGGACUUAGUCUGUUGAAGGGGAUCUGAUUCUAAGAUUUCUUCCUGAGACCCUCUGCUGGUCAGAGUCCAGCACAGAGACCCAGAAUCUGUCUCACUCUGGGUGGUUGUUGGACCCCAACUCCCAUCCCCCCUGACCGUUGGCCACGCAGACUGGGGCUGAUGGGAGUUGGAGUCAAAAUAUGCAGGCUAGCCGGUGCCACCGAUAUAGAAAGCGACAGGGCAGUGUUCUGAUCUGAGAAAAGGCAGCCUGAACUACCCCGCAGGGAUGUUGUGUUGAUAAGAUGGGGGUCACAUCCAUCUGUCCUGAGCUCCGUGGAAAACCUGUGAAAUCAAAAAACUCCUAUCCAUUUGUUGCAGGUUUUGGCUACGCUUAUCACCCUCUUUCCGCUGUAUUACACCUACAUCUGUUAUCAGCUGGAAUCUGACUCCUCUGGCUUUUCCUGAGAAAAGAGUUUUGUUUGUUGCUGGUGAUAAGGGAGGCACAUUCUGAGCUGGCCAAGUUACUGGGAAAAAGAGGAUGCUGUUUGCUUAGAUUUCCUGUCUACUGCUGAACAAGUGUGGCUAGUUCUGGGGCAGCUGUUAGAGCUUGGAGUGAUUCUGCCGUUCUCUGUUGUGUGCGUGUCCUGAGAUCAACUCAUUUCUGAAGGCAGAGGCCACUAGAGGGGGGAGCAAUUUCUACUCCUGAUGGGUUACUUUUUAACCCAUUACCCAUUAACCCAUUACACAUACCAUACCAUUAAGGCGCAUUCCCUUCUUUAAAAAAAGUUAAAGACUUAUAUUACAGACUUAUAAUUUGGCAUGAAAUUUGGACUGUUUGGUCGUACUAUAAUUUGGAAUGGUUUUAAUGUGGUUUAAUUUGGACUGUUAAAAUGGAAAAUUUAAUAAAUAUUAUUAUUUAAAAAAGAAAAGAAGAAGAAGGAUCCUGGGAACUGUAGUUCGCCCCUCAGCAAGGAUGGAAGGAUUUGUCCAUUUUUGUUCUCUCAAUAUCUCAUUUUUCCAACAUUAAAUUCGGUUCUCUGCAAAUUCGGUUCUCUGAAAAUUCAUCAGCAUUUUUAGUGUGAAUUUCUCCGAAAAUAACACUUUUAGAUGCAGCUUUGACUAAACCACAAUUUUUUUUUUUUUUUGCAAUUUCCACAAAUAUUUUCAUUUUUAUGCACACUCUCUCCUAAAAUAUGCAUUUUUUUUGCAAGUGUUGCUUAUGUGGGCAACCGCUUUGCAAAAUACAGGCAGGUGUGAACUUCAAAGGAUAGCUGUGUUUCAGUUUGCUUAUUUGUUUCACAAGAUCUAUAUACCACUUGAUUGAAAUGAAACCUCAGAGAGGUUUAC